UGGGGAAUAUUGGACAAUGGGCGCAAGCCUGAUCCAGCCAUGCCGCGUGAGUGAUGAAGGCCCUAGGGUUGUAAAGCUCUUUCACCGGUGAAGAUAAUGACGGUAACCGGAGAAGAAGCCCCGGCUAACUUCGUGCCAGCAGCCGCGGUAAUACGAAGGGGGCUAGCGUUGUUCGGAUUUACUGGGCGUAAAGCGCACGUAGGCGGGCUUUUAAGUCAGGGGUGAAAUCCCGGGGCUCAACCCCGGAACUGCCUUUGAUACUGGAAGUCUUGAGUAUGGUAGAGGUGAGUGGAAUUCCGAGUGUAGAGGUGAAAUUCGUAGAUAUUCGGAGGAACACCAGUGGCGAAGGCGGCUCACUGGACCAUUACUGACGCUGAGGUGCGAAAGCGUGGGGAGCAAACAGG
rnacentral:rRNA from 1 species